GAAACUCAGAACGUUGCUUUCGUUGUAUCAGAUCAGCAGCAUUGGCCAUUUCAACAAAUGAACCCGAGCACGCAAUUAAAUCGAUGCCAACGGUUGAU